rnacentral:sRNA from 1 species
UGUUUGGUAAAUUAUCAAUUGCGCGGGC